UUUGCUGGAAAGCAAGUUUUAGAGGUGGGCACCUAAUUUUCAGGUGAUUUUGUAGUGCUCCACAGUGCUUCACACAUUGAUGCUUGAGAUUGAUAAGAAUUUAUUGGUGUUGACUACAUUAGUUCUUGUUGAUGAAUAUGUUCAUAUUCUGCUCCAAUUAAAAAUUUUUCAAUUUUGUAUUUUCUUCCUAUAAUUGUCUGUAUCCCUUUGAGAAGCAGUUAUUUUUAUGCCUGUCCUUUUUAUUGAUGAUUAUGUAUCAACCCAUUAAUCAAGAGACUUUCAUUACGAAAUUAGUUCAAAGCUUCAUUUCGCUUUGAAUAUGAAACUCCAAGGCAAAGCUAGGCAAUGCCAUAGUGAGAGAUGAGUGUUGCCACAAGUCAUCAUACUUACUGUCUUUUUCUCUUUAAGAAUGUCAUAUAAAACUCAGAUGUGAUGAUCCUUAUCUAGAUUUAGCAAAGAACAUCAUUGAAGAGCUUUAAGGGUAGGAACAAUUAAUGGAACAAAUUCAUCAGAUAUUUCCUUUUCCUUUUCAAAUAAAUCCUUGAAAUGUAGGUUCAAUGAGCAUGAUAGGAUUUAAUUCCAAUUAGUUGCUUAAAAGGAAUAGAUCUUCAUAAGUAAAGGAAACACUUAAGAGAAUGAAAGUAUGUAAAGCCUAUG
rnacentral:misc_RNA from 1 species